GAAGAAGCAAAAAAGAUGAAAAUUUAAACGGAUUGCUAUUACACUCCUCCUUUCUGGUGAUUCAGGCAAUCUUUAUAUACUUCUACUACUCGAUCUCAGCUCAGCUUUUGAUACUUUCUCUCAUAAGCUAUUACUCAUGUGCCUCUCAAAGAUUGGCAUCUCAGGAGCUGCGUUAUCCUGGUUUUCCUCAUAUUUGACGUACAGACAAUACUACAUCACCAUACAUAACUAUAAAUCUCCCUCUGUCCCUCUUAAACAGGGUGUGCCACAGGGCUCAGUCCUAGGACCAUUAUUAUUUAUUAUUUAUAUUAUGCCCCUCGGACAAAUUAUUCACCGCCACGGUUUACAGUACCACUGCUAUGCCUGCCGACUUCCUGCCAACCUGACUCUAUUCACCAGACUGCAUCUCUAUUGUCAUGCGUCAAUGAGUUAAAGACCUGGCUUAGCUCCAACUCUCUCAGUUUGAAUUUGACUAAAACAGAUAUCUUACUUGUCGGGCCCCCAACUGUAACAAAAAACAUAACAAAUGCCCCUAGAUUUGACCUUGAAGCCUUUUUUCAACUUCGCCGUAUUGCCAAACUCCGUUUCUUCAUCAGCCCAAAAUAUGCCGAAUUACUAGUACAUGCUUUAAUCACAUCUCGCCUUGAUUACUGUAAUGCUCUUUUUUCCGGAUCACCAGUACGUUCCAUCUCUCUAUUGCAAUAUAUUCAAAAUUCUGCUGCAAGAAUGCUAACUUACACUAAACGGUCUGCACAUAUCACUCCUAUUCUAUUCAACCUCCACUGGCUACCUGUGUCCUCUCGUAUCAUUUAUAAAAUUCUUCUGCUUACCUUUAAUCACUCCAUUGUCUUGCACCUACUUAUCUCUCUGACCUGCUUUCUCCAUAUAUUCCCUCUCAUCCACUUCUAUCAUCUGGAGGUGAACUUCUUUGUGUUCCGAGAUUCCGCCUAUCAUCUAUGGGAGGUUGAUCUUUCUCUGUUAUGGCUCCUAAACUUUGGAACACAUUGCCCCUGGCUCUUCGGACAAUAACCACACUCCAUGAAUUUAAGUCUAAACUCAAAACCUAUAUGUUAAAC
rnacentral:lncRNA from 1 species